CCGCAUGCGGCCCAGCACACUAUCUUUCGCGCCGAAAGAUAACGGCUGGGCGUAAAAAUUGCGAUAUCAGCGUUGGAGAUCCGCUAUGUCCUACUUGAAUGGACUGAGGGUGAGGAUAGAGGGGCCCAUAGUAUUUUGGCUCUCGACUGUGUCCGGAAUUUUUAAGUAAAAAAAUUUCUUGAAAGGACUGAAAAAAACGAGAAGCUGGUGGAAUGGCGAAAAGGCCGCCAACCCUGGCCGGUGCACCGAGCAAGAAUUAUUGACGUGGCAAAAUUUGAAAAAACUCUCCAAAUUAAACUGCGUGGGAUCGAGAUGGAGAAAGAAGUCACACAGCAAACAAAACGUCCUCACAUCCCAAACUCAAAGUACCGUGAUCAGGGGCAGACUGAGAAGGCUUCAAAGAAAAGGGUUGACAAUAAAAAGAGAUGUCCUUCUAAAUACAACCACGAGGAGGAGGAGGAGAAGGAGGAGGAGGAGGAUGAGGCGCGUCAUGACAGGCCUUCAAAGAACAAGCGGGCCAGCGAAGAGGAGGAGCGUAUUGGGGAUGAAGAGGACAUAGUACCACCCUCUAAGAAAAAGACAGCUGCUGAAUUUAGAAAACACCUGGAUGAACAGAUGUGGGAGAGGAGGAAACUUGACCAAAUGCAAAGAAAUUUGCAGGAGUUGAGAAAUGAAGUCCAUUCUCUUAAAAAUGAAAAUGCACGUCUGAAAGACAUUAUCAUCAAUCAAAUCCCUCAAAUGAAAAGUGACAUCGCCAUUAUUGCUCAAAAGAAGACUGGAAGGACUCCUGUGGAGGAUCUAGAUUCCUCCUUCUCGACUUUUGGAGAAAUGCAA
ensembl:lncRNA